CCUACGGGAGGCAGCAGUGGGGAAUAUUGCACAAUGGGGGAAACCCUGAUGCAGCGACGCCGCGUGAGUGAAGAAGUAUUUCGGUACGUAAAGCUCUAUCAGCAGGGAAGAAAAAAAGUCCUUUGGACUUUGGACGGUAACUGACUACGAAGCCCCGGCUAACUACGUGCCAGCAGCCGCGGUAAUACGUAGGGGGCAAGCGUUAUCCGGAUUGACUGGGUGUAAAGGGAGAGUAGACGGCAGCGCAAGUCUGGAGUGAAAUGCCGGGGCCCAACCGCGGAACUGCUUUGGAAACUGUGCGGCUGGAGUGCAGGAGAGGUAAGCGGAAUUCCUAGUGUAGCGGUGAAAUGCGUAGAUAUUAGGAGGAACACCAGUGGCGAAGGCGGCUUACUGGACUGUAACUGACGUUGAGGCGCGAAAGCGUGGGGAGCAAACAGGAUUAGAUACCCCUGUAGUC
rnacentral:rRNA from 1 species